CAGUACAAGGCAACAUUUUCCUGGUGGUGGUUGCUUUUCAUAUCAACUCCACUCCGCACUCCCCACACCUCUUUUACCUUCCAAGUAGGUCAACUCAUUUUCUCCUAACAAAUUUCGUCUCUAGUUUGAAACGAAUAAUUUCACUCGCAGUUAACCUACACCACCCCGCACAAAUUUGAUUGUUUUUCAGAUUUGGGUCUUCUUGUUUCUUUUCUUCUAACUCGUCUUCCUGGGUUCCCAGUAUUCUAGAGAGAAAGAGAGGGGGUUGUGGGGUAGAUGGGGAAUUCAUUUGGGUGUUCAGCAUCAGGAGAGAUAUUAGUAAGUGCAGCUAGAGAUGGAGAUUUAGUUAUUAGAAUUCAAUCCUGGUUUAGCUAAAUCUUAAUUCUCCACUUCAUUUUGUUUUGAUUUGUAACAUUGUUGCUUGAAAAGGGGGCAGAUGUAAAUUCCAGGAAUUUCUGUGGACAGGUUAUACUAGUCGACUAGACAGCUCUCCGUUUCACAGCUGCAAAUGGACAUGUCAGUCGUCAGAUGUAUAAGACUAGUAGUUCUGUAGUAGCAGAUUUUGUCCCACACCUGAAGUCUUCAGUUCUCAGACUAAUACAAGCAACAAAUUUGACCAACUGUACCGUUGGUCACUAAACUUUCCAGAUAAUGGCUUUAUUACAGGAGCUGGAAGUACUCCUUUGCAUUAUGCUGCUUGUGGGGGCAAUCUGAAUUGUUGUCAGAGAAUGUGGGUUGCAAGCUUAGAAGAUGUACAUCCGAGAUCCGUACCUAAAAACACAAGCUACCGGCCAAAAAUUGAUUGUCUGGAUGUUUUAUAGGCCCGCCAGCCAUGGGCUAUGUUUUACUUCAGAAACCAAAAAGUGCCAUGCAGGGGCCGAGAAAGGUUGUAUCAAUAUGUCUAUCACAGCUAGGGCAGAAACUAAGAAGAAGUUUAGUGAUUAUUAGGGUUUUUAGUAAAAGAUGGAUGGACAAGAAGGUGGAGCAGUGGUGAGGAUACCUAAAAAUAACUAUAAACAAGUGAUAAAUCAGCUCCAAACAAUCUCAAGAAAAACCGAGUUUGAUACGAAAAUCAAGGAGUUAAGAAAUGGAUCCCAUGAUUGGGUUUCCAAACAAUCUUUUGUUGUUGAACUUCCUGUUGUUACUACAUUUGGUGUAAUCCAUGGAGCUGCUUGUGGUGCUUUCACCGGAGCCUUAGCUGAGGUUGCUAAGCAUGUCUAUCCACAGCAUUCACUUGUCAUUAAGGAUGGCAGCAGGUUUUGGUGCUGAAGUCCUGCUUAGAUUGAUGCUGACGUCGAUGGGGGAUCCUAAUCUGGCAGUGAAAGCAGUCAUAACCGGAGUCAUCGGUGCGCUUGUUGGAGGUACUGCCUUUCAGCUAGGUGACAGAAUCUCUCCGCCAUCAAGGGAGUAUACCAGAACAAGAUGCAUGUUGUCGAAUCUUGGGCUUCAAAAUUAUGAGAAGAACUUCCAGGAAGGCUUCUUAAUAGACAUUACUAUACCUAUGCUUAC